UGACUUUGGCUUUUCAGAGCCUGUUUGAGCUCGACAGAGAUACGCUGCAUACUCGGUUGGGUAGCGCCCACGAGUGCCACUCCGGAGUCAGGCUUUGUGCUUUCGCGUUGGUGUCGCUCAUGCCAGUUGGACUUGCUCUCCACGGACCAGUUAGUGUGGAUAGAGCCCGAUAGUCGCAACGGGGCAGGGACGGGUGUAUUCACAGUCCCGGGGACGGGUAUGCUUACAGUCCCGAUUGGAUUGGGUCAGAUUUGACAUUUCCUACAGUUGGUUAGUGUAGAGCAUGAUAGCGUAGUGAUUGAUAGCGGUAGAGUGUACUUCCUGCUUUUCCUACUAUUUUUGCUCCCUUCUGUAGACUUAGUGGGUAGACCGAUGUUGUUUUGGGCGGCACCCACUGAGGACUACCUGUUUUUACAGUAGUUCUCACGCUCAGUUGUUACUCCUGUUUUGCAGAGCCACAGGUGCCGGCUGCUGCAUCUUCCGCCGACCAGAAUCGAGGCAAGGACGUUGCGAGCUAGAGCCCUACCCGACAGUCAGAGCUAGAGGCUUUCCACUACUGCAGGUAGUUGUUUUGGAGUUUAUGUACAUAGUUGUUUAACUCGCCAGUGCGAGUAACCUUGUAUUUUGGAUUCUAGCUAUGUAUAUGAAACUCAGUUAUUUAGUUUUUUUGAGCAGCUCUAUGCUACUGUUUGUAGUAUCGUAUUUCUACAGGUACUUUGACGUUUCGUAUACAAGGAAAAUUUCUUUGUAUACGGCGGAUUUGUCGGCGUGCCCGGGGAACGAGAUAUCCGGGGCGUGACAGAUUAAGUUGGUAUCAGAGCUUUGCUAUAGGUCGUUGGGACCUAGGAAACCCUAAGUUGGCAAACCUUAAGAAGCAAGACGCGAGAGGCGUCAUUUAAUUGCGAAGGUCAAUGAUUAUUUGUUCUAAUUCCUCCUAGAGUGGAGUGAGUGACUGAAGGAGUUCCUGUUUUGGCCUGAAAAAUUAUGUUGGCUGCAGACGACAUAAUUUUGGAGGAAAACAGGGACCGCCUUCCCGACUUUCGUUGAUUGGGUCUAGAGUGUUGCGUGUAUCUGACCCCGACUUGUUUCUUUUUAGCUAUGUAUCGUCGCCGAGGUCGACCGUCGUUGCGGGAUCGUGCGGGACCUUCUGAGAGAUCUGAGCAGAUGGAGCAGAGUGCUCGGCAGGAGCAGAGGGACAGACCGGAGGUUAGUGCAU
rnacentral:lncRNA from 1 species